AUAUAAAAGAUAUAAAAACUGAGUAUAUCUGGUAUACAUUUUUUCUUUCAAAUUUGUGUAGUUUUGCAAAACCACCCCCUAUUAGUAAUAUAUGAUACUUCCUCUGUCUUUCAAGCAUCUUUCUUUCUUUUUAUUUUGGUUUGUGCCCUUAAUAUUUUUGUCACAUAUUUUUGGAAACAAUUCUACUAACAAUCUUCACUUUUGUAGAAUUCAUUCUCUAUUCAUUAAGGCUAUGUUUGGUGUCUUAGUAUACGCAGUAUUAGCUUACUAAUCGGGCUUUAUGUGUGUGUUUGGUGUUUUUGUGCGCUUCAUGGGCGGCCCUGGAAAACGCAAGGGCCCAGCCGAAAUAAUACAGAUUUGUCCCGACUGUGAAUCCCUCGCCCCCCUUCGGUUACGGAAGCCAUCACUUUAUCGUGAUUUCCCCUUGCCAUAUUUGCCCUCUAUUUUGUCAUUCUCUUUCAUCAAAAUUUCUCCCGCUUCGAAAUCUCCAUUUUUCGUCCGUCUACCUGCGGUGUUCGACGAAGAAUCAAUUUUGGGCUAUAAGAAUCGACUGUUGGGUUGAGUUUUGUUCAAUAAUAUUUUUCAGCCAUCGAUUUGCUUCGAUACUCGAUUGUGUAAAAAUAUGGUAGCUGCUUCUUCCUCAAAUAUUCGUAAGUCCCCCCUCCUCCCCCCAAAGGAUACGCUGGUCCAAGACAAAAAAAAUGAGUGGGUAUAUUAGUCAUUUUAUCAUCUAAUCAGCUUUAAUCGUGCUAUUACUACUGCUCACCAAACUAACCAAAAUAGAUUGUUAUGUAACUAUUUAAAUAAUCAAACAACAAUAAAGCAUACUAAUAUCAUUGUAAUCAAGAUUAGGUAGCCGAAAAUAAACUAUAUUGGCUAAUCCAUUACCAAACACCAAACAUAGCCUAAAUAUACAAGGGAGAAGUAGCAAAUAGCCCCCUAUCAUAUAACCCUCUAAUAUAUUUACCUCUCCAUCUUUUGAUUUUGGGUUGUUAGCCCAUCAACAUCUCACAAGGAGUGUAAAAUCCCUCCUAUUCAUUACGAAUACCUAUGUCCGUCUAAUAUUUCAUUUUUUUAA